rnacentral:lncRNA from 1 species
CUCUCGUCACUUCCGGCUCCCAGCGCUCUCUGAAAGCUAGGCUAGCGGAGCUUACAAAGAUCGGAUGGUAGAGCUUUCGCCUUCCCCUCAGACGCUCCAGAUACAGACUAGGUGAGCACUCUGCCCGGGAGGGACAGAUCGUCGGAGCCCGCGGGCGGAAGGCGAGUCGUGGCGGGGUUAGGGCUCUGGAGUCCGGCCCCGCCCGGCAGUCCCCUGAGUUUGAAAGAAUUGAAUGCCUCCUCAGUUGUCACCCAGGCUGAUCUUGCGCAGGCUGUUGGCUUCUCGUGGAGUUUGAGUUUUUGGACAGUGACGUAGGAUGGCUGUGUUGCCCAGACAGGAGAAGAAAAAGAAGAACCUGUUGCUUAAGUUCUGGAGACAUUUUUGUUGCUGUUGUUUACUGAGCAUGUGAAGGGAGGUCUUUCUGCCUUGCCUGUUUUAUUUUCAGGAAGCAGGGUUGGGAAUGAACCCUGGAGCUGAGACAGCCAUCCUGAAGCUAGAACAAGCCGGAAGAACAAAUAAACCCCAGUUUCUUGUAUCCUGGCUGAUGUAUUUAGUGAAUGGCCUAGGGGGCUGAACAACCUGCAUUAAAGCUUGCUGCAGAUACAUGAGACAGAGUCAACUGAGCUUGGGGCAGCUCUCCAAGACGGAUGCUGUGCCCAAUUUAAAAAGACAAACUCAAAUAGGAUGGGGUUUGGGAUUGAACUUUUGUUUUUUUUCAGAUGACCUCAGUAUGUAGCCUACGACUUUCUUUAAACUGGUGUUUCUCCUGCCUGAGCCCUCUGAAUACUAGGAAUGCAGGUAUGCACCAUGGGGUUGAGGUGUUAACCAUUUCUAAAAUAAAAUAAACCUGUAAGGCUUUAAGUAACACUAAAAAUAAAAAUAAAAGGGCAUUUUGUACA